GACAGAGGGUGCAAACGUUGUUCGGAAUUACUGGGCGUAAAGCGCGUGUAGGCUGCUCAGAAAGUCGGAUGUGAAAGCCCUGGGCUUAACCUAGGAAGUGCAUUCGAAACUUCUGAGCUUGAGUUCUGGAGAGGAAGGCGGAAUUCUCGGUGUAGAGGUGAAAUUCGUAGAUAUCGAGAGGAACACCGGUGGCGAAGGCGGCCUUCUGGACAGUGACUGACGCUGAGACACGAAAGCGUGGGUAGCAAACAGG
rnacentral:rRNA from 1 species